rnacentral:lncRNA from 1 species
UUAUUAAAGGGUUAAGGUUAGGGUUAUUAAAGGGUUAAGGUUAGGGUUAUUAAAGGGUUAAGGUUAGGGUUAUUAAAGGGUUAAGGUUAGGGUUAUUAAAGGGUUAAGGUUAGGGUUAUUAAAGGGUUAAGGUUAGGGUUAUUAAAGGGUUAAGGUUAGGGUUAUUAAGGGUUAAGGUUAGGGUUAUUAAAGGGUUAAGGUUAGGGUUAUUAAAGGGUUAAGGUUAGGGUUAUUAAAGGGUUAAGGUUAGGGGUAUUAAAGGGUUAAGGUUAGGGUUAUUAAAGGGUUAAGGUUAGGGUUAUUAAAGGGUUA